UUUCACGCCAUGUCUUGUUGUCACGCCAUGUCUUGUUGUCACGCCACAUCCUGUUUUAUUUUGUUAACUUCCUGUUUACCCAGUCGUCACUCUCCGGUUCCCAGUAUCCACACCUGUUACCAAUCAGUAAUCAGUACCAGUAUAUAGCCUCACCACUCACAGACCCCAGUUGCCAGAUUGUCGUGUUUCCUGAGAGUUCUGAGUUUCGUUCGUGUUUCUUUUUGACGGUGGACAUUGGUGGAUUUCGGUGGAUGACAAGAAAAAAAGGAGCAACAAGCAUGGCUCAACCAGGCGGCAUGUGGACACCAGAGCGACCACAUCAUCAUGCUACCUGAGUCUACUGCUACCAGUCCACCUGCAGCCGCUACUGGAUUAACCCCCCGACGACAUGUCUGCCUCCUCCACCUCUCCAUCGGCUCCGACACCUGUCCCAGACCUGCAAGGUUAAUAAAAAGAAAACAUAAAUUGUUGGAAAUGUAACGUUGAUAAAUGACCGCAAAUCAAUGUGAACGUAAUGUUGAUAGUUGACCAUAAAUAAACAUAAAUGUAACAUUGAUGAAUGACCAUAAAUCAGCAUAAAUGUAACAUUGAUGCUCAACCAUAAUGCAACAGUGAGAUAAUGUUACCCCAGCAGCUGGUUCCAUCACCUCCCGCACACACACACACACGCACAAACUCAACCUGUCCACCAACACAGCGACGUCACACAUAUCUGGUAUGGACUAAAUUAAACCAAAAAUAAACCAUUAAUCAAGAAGAGUAUAUAUAUUUCAUAUAUACUUGUAUAAGCAAAUCUGUCCAUCGGCAUCGGCAUUCAGCCUAAUAGAUGCUGCUUGUUGAACUGCCAGACAGGACAAAAAAAAUGGAAAAAGGACAACACAGUAUCAAGUAACAGUGUUCAGAGAAAAUGAAACCCUGAAUCAAAGCAACCUCCCAAAGCAACAACAACAACAACAAACCGACUGACGAAGAGCUGUGUGGUGGGAGUCCUGAAUUACUAAAUAUGGCAGCCAGGUGCAAGUGGUGACAAUGAUUAGACAGACAUGAAGCAGGAGGAGGAAAUCCCUAAUCAUGAUCCAGAACCUCGGAGAAUAAAGCUGAGAGGUGAGGGGUGACUUGAGGUGUUUGUUUGGUUAACCCCAAACUUAACCCACUGACUUGAUACCGCUCUUACCUUUUCUUGUAUAUUUAAUACUGCUGCCGUCCGUUCUAUUCACUGUUCUUCCGUACUGCUGUACUGUUUGUCCUGUUUCUUUCUUGUAUCUUAU